UACAGAGGUCCCGAGCGUUGUUCGGAUUCACUGGGCGUAAAGGGUGCGUAGGUGGCAUGGCAAGUUUGAUGUGAAAGCUCAGGGCUUAACCCUGAAAUGGCAUUGAAUACUGCUGUGCUGGAGGUUUGGAGGGGGGACUGGAAUUCUUGGUGUAGCAGUGAAAUGCGUAGAUAUCAAGAGGAAUACCGGUGGCGAAGGCGGCAUCCUGGACCGAGAUUGACACUGAGUGAGCGAAAGCCAGGGGAGCAAACGGG
rnacentral:rRNA from 1 species